GAGAGAGAUUCGUAAUAACAAAGACUGCUAAUCUUUGCCUCCUCAGUUAAACUCCGGGGCUCACUCG
rnacentral:tRNA from 1 species